rnacentral:rRNA from 1 species
GAUGAACGCUGGCGGCGUGCCUAACACAUGCAAGUCGAACGAAGCACCUUACCUGAUUCUUCGGAUGAAAGUUUGGUGACUGAGUGGCGGACGGGUGAGUAACGCGUGUGUAACCUGCCCUGUACAGGGGGAUAACAGCUGGAAACGGCUGCUAAUACCGCAUAAGCGCACGAGGAGACAUCUCCUUGUGUGAAAAACUCCGGUGGUACAGGAUGGGCCCGCGUCUGAUUAGCUGGUUGGCAGGGUAACGGCCUACCAACGCAACGAUCAGUAGCCGGUCUGAGAGGAUGAGCGGCCACAUUGGAACUGAGACACGGUCGAAACUCCUACGGGAGGCAGCAGUGGGGAAUAUUGCACAAUGGGGGGAACCCUGAUGCAGCAACGCCGCGUGAGUGAAGAAGUAUUUCGGUAUGUAAAGCUCUAUCAGCAGGGCAGAUAAUGACGGUACCUAACUAGGAAGCUCCGGCUAAAUACGUG